rnacentral:rRNA from 1 species
GACGUAGGGCGCGAGCGUUGUCCGGAUUUAUUGGGCGUAAAGAGCUCGUAGGCGGCUUGUUGCGUCGACUGUGAAAACCCGCGGCUUAACCGCGGGCUUGCAGUUGAUACGGGCAGGCUAGAGUUCGGUAGGGGGGACUGGAAUUCCUGGUGUAGCGGUGAAAUGCGCAGAUAUCAGGAGGAACACCGGUGGCGAAGGCGGGUCUCUGGGCCGAUACUGACGCUGAGGAGCGAAAGCGUGGGGAGCGAACAGG